rnacentral:rRNA from 2 species
UCUCCGUUGGUGAACCAGCGGAGGGAUCAUUACCGAGUUUACAACUCCCAAACCCCUGUGAACAUACCAAUUGUUGCCUCGGCGGAUCAGCCCGCUCCCGGUAAAACGGGACGGCCCGCCAGAGGACCCCUAAACUCUGUUUCUAUAUGUAACUUCUGAGUAAAACCAUAAAUAAAUCAAAACUUUCAACAACGGAUCUCUUGGUUCUGGCAUCGAUGAAGAACGCAGCAAAAUGCGAUAAGUAAUGUGAAUUGCAGAAUUCAGUGAAUCAUCGAAUCUUUGAACGCACAUUGCGCCCGCCAGUAUUCUGGCGGGCAUGCCUGUUCGAGCGUCAUUUCAACCCUCAAGCCCAGCUUGGUGUUGGGACUCGCGAGUCAAAUCGCGUUCCCCAAAUUGAUUGGCGGUCACGUCGAGCUUCCAUAGCGUAGUAGUAAAACCCUCGUUACUGGUAAUCGUCGCGGCCACGCCGUUAAACCCCAACUUCUGAAUGUUGACCUCGGAUCAGGUAGGAAUACCCGCUGAACUUAA